CAUGAGCUGUUAUGAGGCACAUUGCAUCAACUCAUCUAUUAAGGAGGAUAUGAAGAGUGAAAGUGAUGUUAAUCGAAUAACAUGUGUUCAAAUGUUCUCAAAAGGAUUAAAUGUUUAGCUAUUUGAGAAUGUAAGCAUUUGUCUGCAUUUCUAGACGAUACAGAAAAAUACUUAAAACAAGUUUCUCUUUAUUGAAAGCACUCACACAGCUUCAGUACUGCUGUACUGAGUAAUUUUUUCUUUUCCUUCCUAUUUGCAAUUGUAUUUCUGAACAUAAGCCACAUGAAGGCCACACCUGAAAUAUGCAAGAGGCUCAGCAUUAAACGUCAUUUUCUAUUGUCCAGUGUUUACAUCAUAAUGAUCCGUUUCUACAAGUUGUCUCCUUUUGCCAGAACACUCGGACGUACCCACUCACCUCUCCAAUGCUGUCUGUGUGACUCAAUCAUUUGUCAUUAUUGCUAGGCAACAACCCAGCCAACCACAGCUGAGAUGAGGUCAAGUGUGGACGAGGGUUGACGUCAUUUCCUAUGAACACCUUUGCAACCUCUGCACUCAGAUGGAGCCAGCUGAUGAAAGCUACCUGGAGAAGUGACAGGAUUUUAUAGUAAUCCGAUGAAGUAAAUAAGAAACAAACUCUGCUAACCAUUCCCUAAACAGUAGGCUAAACUGAGCAAGUAGGAGGUUUUUUUCCAGUGUCUUGGAGAAAAAAAAAUCACAUCACAUUA